AAAGUCGUAACAAGGUUUCCGUAGGUGAACCUGCGGAAGGAUCAUUAUCGUGAGGCUUCGGCCUCUUCGAGAGAAAAUCCUUGCCUUUUCGAGCACCUGUUUGUUUCCUCGGCAGCUCCGGCUGCCAAUGGGGACCUUUUAAACUCUUGUAAUAACCUGAACUAAUCGUCUGAAUAAAAAAAUAAAUCAAAACUUUCAACAACGGAUCUCUUGGUUCUG
rnacentral:misc_RNA from 1 species